rnacentral:rRNA from 1 species
CUUACUUCGGUAAGCUUACUGAGUGGCGGACGGGUGAGUAACGCGUGGGAACUUGCCUUAUGGUGGGGGACAACAGUUGGAAACGACUGCUAAUACCCCAUAAGCCCUUCGGGGAAAAGAUUUAUCGCCAUAAGAUAGGCCCGCGUUGGAUUAGGUUGUUGGUGAGGUAACGGCUCACCAAGCCUAUGAUCCAUAGCUGGUCUUAGAGGAUGAUCAGCCACACUGGGACUGAGACACGGCCCAGACUCCUACGGGAGGCAGCAGUGGGGAAUAUUAGACAAUGGGGGAAACCCUGAUCUAGCGAUGCCGCGUGAGUGAUGAAGGCCUUAGGGUUGUAAAACUCUUUCACUGGUGACGAUGAUGACGGUAACCAGAGAAGAAGCCCCGGCUAACUCCGUGCCAGCAGCCGCGGUAAUACGGAGGGGGCUAGCGUUGUUCGGAAUUACUGGGCGUAAAGGACGCGUAGGCGGUUGUGUCAGUCAGAAGUGAAAGCCUCGGGCUUAACCCGAGAAUUGCUUUUGAUACUGCACAACU